GAGUUUACAUGUUAGAGGGAGUGGGUAUAGUGACAGUAACAGAGGGAUUGAGGGCCUGCUCAGUGAGUUUACAUGUUAGAGGGAGUGGGGUAUAGUGACACAGUAACAGAGGGAUUGAGGGCCCUGCUCAGUGAGCUUACAUGUUGGAGGGAGUGGGGUAUAGUGACACAGUAACAGAGGGAUUGAGGGCCUGCUCAGUGAGUUUACAUGUUAGAGGG